AAAAAAAAAAACUCGGCCGCACCCCAGUCCGCAGCCUGCCCCAAAUCACAACCUCAUCCAAAUCGACCUACCCUACUUCCACCCCGGCCACCUCGCCGCCGAGCACCUUCCGCUGUGGCCGACCACCAUUCGCCACCCCAAGCAUCCCACCGCAGUGCCUCCCCGACUAUUGUCGCCAGCCACCCUUCGCCUCUUCGUCCCAAACUAUCUGCACAAGGACGGGAAGGGAGGGAGACCCGAUGGGCGGAGGAGGUCGAAGCCGUUGCCCACACCGCGGAUCUGCCGCGGGGAUGCGGGAAGAAAGGACGCGGUUGCGCGGCCCCCGGAUCCGGCGAAGGACGUGCGCAAGAGGCGGCCAACGGGGCGCGGGGCACAACUCCAGAUCCGGGCGGCCCGAGCAGAGCGUGAAGCUAGGAAGCGGGCAUAUGCUUUGGGUGGCCGCCUUCGGUGCAGCCGGCGGCAACGGCAUGGCUGUAGUUUGGCGCCUAGGUUUGGGUGCCCCAGUGGCACCCUUGCAAGUGACAGGAAGUGAGCGACCAGGAACCAGAAGAUGCCGGCAGUCUGUGAAGAAGUUUUUGAGUGGCUGUCUGCUCGGAGCUACCGGAAGAGCAGCUAGCCAACGCACAAAGACCAAGGCGGAGAAUGAAGCUAGAAGCGAGACAGAAUACCCGAGGAAGGUCGACCUCGAGACUUACUUGAGCCAUUAGAAUAUUUCCCUUGAGUUCGAGAGGAUGUUCAGUUGCUUCAUCACUUAGCAUUAUUGACUAUGCACACUGCCUAUAAGUAGUCCGACCAAUUCAGUGAGCAGCAGCAGGGGCAGGCUGGCAGAACCUCAUCAGCCCCAUUUGCUUUGCAACCAGGAUGGACGCCACCUCAAAAUGAUCUAAUAUUUUUUCAGUCCAUUUUCCAUUUUAUCCUUUUGUAGUUUGUUUAAUUUUGGCUCCCUGAUUGGUCUUCUCCUUGUGUACAGUUUGCUCAAACAGGGAAUCGAGGACAGCAAGGACCAUUGAAGCCCGAGAUGUUUGGAAUUGGACAGUUCAAUCUCUACUUUUCUCCUCCAAUGAUUCAGGUGUUCCCGUUUUUCUAUUGAAAUUUGAAGUAAAAUAUUUUUUUCAUAUAUAUCUAUAUGAAUGAAAUUUAUGCACUAUGUUGUAGUUGAGGUCUUGAUGGGCACCAUUUUUGAAGUUCGCUCUGGACCUCGAAAAAUUCAGGACCGGCCCUGUAUAUAUGUAGUGUUAUUUCCUUUGUUGUUUGUAGAUGCAAGUUACCAAAUAUAGGUUAAUAUCUAGCCUGUAGUAAAUGUGAAGUUAGGAAUGAGAUUUUCCUUAUGCAUUUUCUGGUUUGUGAAGCAGCUUUUGGUAACCUGGUUCAUUUAGUCUAUUGAUGUUCAACUUUUAUACAGUUUCUUCAUUGUAUAAAUUAAAUUGCAUGCUGCCUCUGUAAUAGUAUAAGUACUAUUCCUAGCCUUACUUAUAGAACUUUGUGUAACUAUAGGUAUUUAUUUUCCUCUAAAAUAGAUUUAUAUUUCAAGGAAGCAGAUUCAUAAGUAAAAUCAUAGUAUUAUAGGCAGAACAAGUUCUUGCAAAACAUCAACAUGAAAGAGGUUUGCUGAUGGUUCUAGGACCGAUGCUCUUAGGGACCAUGAGUAUGUCCUUACCGAUGCUCGUUGGCGAUCUUCCUCUGGAAUGAGUUCCUAAUUUUCUUGUGUUGGGAUAUCCAUGCAACUAAACUUAUGAUAUAUUGUGGCAUUCUUCUCUUACAUGCAGUACUUUUGCACACUCUGGUAAUAUCCCUUUUGAUGUUCUUUUUAAUGUAACUUUGGUUAGAAAACUUGGGAGAUCUUGAUAGGAGUGAUGAACUUGAUAGAACUUGUAAUAUGGUAGCGUGGACUUCUACCACGAGUAGUUUACCCUUGUAACUUGCGAGAUCUUGAUAGGAGUGAUGCCCUUCCUUUCCUUUCAAAAUGGAAGAUAUAUUGCCUCCGCCCUAUACAUGGUACAAAACUAAUCAUCAAAUGGCAUGAGAAAUUUUGUUUAUCUGUAUGGUCUUGCAUGAUGCUAUCUUUUGAGGCACAAGCUUUUUCGGACGGAGGGAGUAUAAACAUGCAAUAUAUGCUUGGCAUGCAGUUUUCUGAUGUGUACAAGUUGUUUGACCUUGUAUUUUACUGCUUACUAUGUACUCCCUCCAUCCUAAAAUAAGUGUCUCAAGCUUAGUACAAUUUUGUACUAAAGCUAGUACAAAGUUGAGACAGUUAUUUUGGGGCGGAGGGAGUACUAUACAUCCGGAAUUGUAUUUGGAAGUGUCAAAAUUUAUCAUUUAUAAUCAUUGAUAGUUACAUUGCUAGAUAUACACACACUGAAAGUCUGAAAUAUUCUUGAAAAAGCACAUGUCAGCUGUCAUAUCUUCAUUAGAUGUUUUUAAAUCUUUUCCUGGUUUGAUGUUGAUAUUUUGUUAGUUUGUAGAUGCUGCUAGUUUGUACUUUCAAAAAUUUAAACUUGAUUUUGUUUUCUCUGCAGUACAACAAGUUGUGUCUCAAGCUUGUAAGUUCUGUUACAAGGAUGAGAUUGUUAGAAUGCUACAAAACUUCUACGUGAUAGCAGUUGUACCAGUCAACUAGGAUGUCUACAUGAUGUUUCUUGUAUUCAUGGCAGCAACAAAAUCUUGUGGCGCAAGGUUAAGCUCUGAUCUUCAAAAGCAUUGCAAGCUUGGUGAUUCUUCUGCGGGAGACAUGUGGUCCUGUUUAAAUUAUGCUGUUUCACAUGAUGGUGGCGAGUCUGUUAUUCACAAGACAUCUAAUGAAGUCAUCCAAUAAGAAGGUUCCAAACAAACAAUUUGUCUUCCUAGACAUGGCUGUAGCUGCGUGUCAAGCUCAAACCAAUUGUUUAGCUUAGUUUGAACAAAAGAAAUCUUAUUGUCCAUGUAAAUUCUGUUCAUUGAUGUAGUUGGACGCUACUGAAUGCAUGUAUGAAUGUUGUAGUACUGAAUUUUAAUCAUUAUGUGUUUGAGAUUUUCUA